rnacentral:rRNA from 1 species
GCAAGUCGAGGGGAAACGGCAUUGAGUGCUUGCACUGAAUGGACGUCGACCGGCGCACGGGUGAGUAACGCGUAUCCAACCUUCCCAUAACUAAGGGAUAACCUGCCGAAAGGCAGACUAAUACCUUAUGUAAUUCUUAGAUGACAUCAGAAGAGAAGGAAAGAUUUAUCGGUUAUGGAUUGGGAUGAGUCUGAUUAGCUAGUUGGCGAGGUAACAGCCCACCAAGGCGACGAUCAGUAGGGGUUCUGAGAGGAAGGUC